rnacentral:rRNA from 1 species
AAAUUAUCCUCAUAAGUUUGACGACAAAGAGGAACCAUUUAAAAUUUAUUUUAUAUGGUGGCACAGAAUCGGAGGCCCCGACUGUUUACUAAAAACACAAUUCAGAGCAAUGAUUAAGAUAAUAGUAUUCUGAAUGAAAUUUGCCCGAUGCCAUUAAUAUAAGAGAGGUCAUCUAAAAGUGACUAAUCCGAAAGUCUGGUUAAUAGCGGUCUUAACUAUGAGGAUCCAAAGGUAGCAAAAUCAGUUGGCCAUUAAAUGUGGUCUGGUAUCAAUAGUGUAACGAUGGUCUCACUGUCUCUACAACUUGCUCAGUGAAAUUGAAUUACCCGUGCAGAUGCGGGUUACCUCCAGGGGGACGGGAAGACCCUAUGCAGCUU